GAGGGUAUAGCGUAAGUGGUAGAGCACAUGCUUAGCAUGCACGAGGCCCUGGGUUCAAUCUCCAGUACCUCCU
rnacentral:tRNA from 1 species